rnacentral:rRNA from 1 species
UGGGGAAUAUUGGACAAUGGGCGAAAGCCUGAUCCAGCCAUGCCGCGUGGAUGAAGAAGGCCCUAGGGUUGUAAAGUCCUUUCGUUGGUGAAGAUAAUGACGGUAACCAAAGAAGAAGCCCCGGCUAAUUUCGUGCCAGCAGCCGCGGUAAUACGAAAGGGGCUAGCGUUGUUCGGAAUUACUGGGCGUAAAGCGCACGUAGGCGGCCGUGUAAGUUAGAGGUGAAAUCCCGGGGCUCAACCCCGGAACUGCCUUUAAAACUACAUAGCUAGAGGAUGUGAGAGGAUAGUGGAAUUCCGAGUGUAGAGGUGAAAUUCGUAGAUAUUCGGAAGAACACCAGUGGCGAAGGCGACUGUCUGGCACAUUUCUGACGCUGAGGUGCGAAAGCGUGGGGAGCAAACAGGAUUAGAUACCCCCGUAGUCC